rnacentral:rRNA from 1 species
GACAGAGGGUGCAAACGUUGUUCGGAAUUACUGGGCGUAAAGCGCGUGUAGGCGGCCAUGCAAGUCGGAUGUGAAAGCCCUCGGCUCAACCGGGGAAGUGCACCCGAAACUGCGUGGCUAGAGUCUCGGAGAGGAUCGUGGAAUUCUCGGUGUAGAGGUGAAAUUCGUAGAUAUCGAGAGGAACACCGGUGGCGAAGGCAGCCUCCUGGGCCAGCACUGACGCUCAUGCACGAAAGCGUGGGGAGCAAACAGG